rnacentral:rRNA from 1 species
UGGGGAAUAUUGCGCAAUGGACGAAAGUCUGACGCAGCAACGCCGCGUGGGUGAAGAAGGCCUUCGGGUCGUAAAGCCCUGUCAGGUGGGAAGAAACCUGCGUAAGCAGCUGACGGUACCACCAAAGGAAGCACCGGCUAACUCCGUGCCAGCAGCCGCGGUAAUACGGAGGGUGCAAGCGUUGUUCGGAAUCACUGGGCGUAAAGGGCGCGUAGGCGGCCGAUCAAGUCUGAUGUGAAAGCCCGGGGCUCAACUCCGGAAGUGCAUUGGAAACUGAUUGGCUUGAGUUCGGGAGAGGAGGGCAGAAUUCCCGGUGUAGGGGUGAAAUCCGUAGAGAUCGGGAGGAAAACCAGUGGCGAAGGCGGCCCUCUGGAACGAAACUGACGUUGAGGCGCGAAAG